GACGAACGCUGGCGGCGUGCUUAACACAUGCAAGUCGAGCGGAAUAUGGGGGCUUGCUCCCAUAUUUAGCGGCGGACGGGUGAGUAACGCGUGAGCAACCUGCCUUCAACUACGGGAUAACACUUAGAAAUAGGUGCUAAUACCGUAUAAGACCACACUCGGACAUCCGAGAGGGGUAAAAGAUUUAUCGGUUGAAGAUGGGCUCGCGUCCCAUUAGUUAGUUGGUGAGGUAACGGCCCACCAAGACUGUGAUGGGUAGCCGACCUGAGAGGGUGAUCGGCCACAUUGGAACUGAGAAACGGUCCAA
rnacentral:rRNA from 1 species